AAAAGAAAAAGGAAUUGAAGGAGGACACGCAUUGGAAAAAAGGAGCAUUUUUUUUUUGGGAGAUUCUGAGAAUUUUUGGGGAGGAAAAGCACAAAGGAAUGGGAGAAGGGAGCAAUUGUAACCAAGGCUGCCCAGGUAUGCUUCUCGUCAUUCUUAGAAUCAUUACCCAUAUUCGAUUUCUCCGUGCAUUUGUCUCUGAAUAUUUAAUAUAUUGUUGAUUGGUGUGGACGAAAAGGGCCACAAAUUGAUUUGUUGAGAUUGGUUAUUCACUUGUUUGCCCUGUUUUCGAUUCUGAUUCUCUUAUGUGUCAUUGAUGUCGUUCGAAAUUCAUGACUCCAUGCCUGAAUGUGAUCAUGUUCGUUUUUUUUGUUUAAAUCCUAUUCUGCUCUAUUCCCACUAUUAUCAGCCCAUGGAUUAAAAUUUGAAGUGGGGGGCUACUUAUGUCUACUAACCAAUAUCUCCUAUUCUCUUCCUCCUCCGAGUUUUGCUGUGUUUUAUCUUACUUGUUCAAUAUCCCUUUCUCCGCACGGUGUUCGAAUCCUUGCCUUUGUAUUUGGGUUGCAUUGGAGGAUGGUGGAAGAGUCGAUAUGAGAGGUGAGCUUAAUGGUGUCAAGUCUUCCGACGAAUUUGGGAAUGAUAGCAAAUAUGGCAGAGGAGUUUUGCACCUGUGGAUCACAGAAUCAGAGAUCAAAUUUGAAAAGAAAACAGAGGAGGACGAUUGGACGGGAGAAUCAGUGACGAGCAAUGUGUCUAGCUUCGUAUUCUCUGCAUGAAAGUUUCAAUUCGUCUGUAUAUGGUGUUGUUCUGAAAUAUGCGUUCAAGCAGGAAGUGAUUUAGUUUUCAUGUGGCAAGAUUGGAUGGCCUGGCUGCUUGCUACUGGAUGUUUUUCUUCAAUUCGUGAGCAAGGUUUGGCGUGUCAAAUUAUAACAGUCAGUGCAUAUGUUGAGGUGGGAAGCUUUACUUUUGUUCAGGAGCUGUUUGAUAAAAUACCCCACAAGUUACAGCAUAUAACUUGAAUGUACUAAAGUCCUCUGCCUGCGAAUUUUUGUCAGUUUUAUCUGGGAACUUCUUGAAAUCUGCACAGAAUGGUGAUAAUUUGUGCAUUACAGAAUUUUGUGAUGUGCAAUAGAAUUAUUAAUCGAGCUGUGAAUGUGACCCCUGAUGAUUGACUGUCACAUGGACUAGCCCAGCAGUUUGUUUCCUUUGAUAACUUGAUCCAGCUGGCUGAGACUCAGAUACAAACUCCAUCUUCCCAAGGAGUCUUUGAAGGUUUAUUGCUUUGUCCUAGAUUAUGGAGAAGAGGAUAUUGAGUGAGGACGCUGCCAUAGUUGGGAUUGAGAUUGGUUUUCAUUACAAUCCAUCCCAUGAAAUGAAUGCUCUGAUACAGGCUGCAAAAUUGAGAAGACCAAUUUCCGAUGUUGAUUUUGAAGAUGGACAGAGAAAGGAACCAAUUUCUUUAAGGAAUAUUUUCUGUGUCUCUUGGGUUCGAAGGUAGUGAUUUAUGUUGCACAUCAAGUAGAGUUCUUAUCUUUGCUGAUUUCAUACUGGUCAUAAAAGAUGUGGUCUCUUGUUCAGAGCAAGAACCCAUGUUAUCCUUUGCUUCAGAAUUACCAGAUCAUGUGGGCUUUCAAGAGAAUCAAAUUGUGCCAAUAUCGAAAAUUCCAGCUGCUACUUUGUGCCUCGGAAAUCAGCCUGCAAGGUGGUGAUCAUCAUAGCUGUGUCAACCAUGCUAAAAAUGCUUAUUAGCAUAAAUACCGAGGACAUCCCACCAAACUGCUUUGAUCAAUUCAAUGUAGAAAUGAAUGAGAAACAUAAUGUGAAUUUUCUGUAGCUUGAUGGUCUAGUGCAGGGAAGAAAGUUGUUUCUUGCCAGUUUGUAGCUUAUCAAACGAAUCCUUCUCAAGUACUUUUGACCGUUUCCUCCUAAGACCGAGGUUCCAGGCGUGCCCUGUUCGCGAAGUUACUUCUCAAGCAUUCAGUCUCAUAUGGAUUAAAAGGAGAAAUAAUUGUCGUAUUCUUGCUCCAUCGCUUGGAACGAGUUGCUCGCUGUACUGGUGCACCAAUUCAGAACAAGCUGGCUGAGCUGUGGUCUUUGUUCGAUCUUGUCUUCCCUGGGAAGUUGGAAGUGUUGCUUGUAUUUGAAGCAGAAUUUGCAAUUCCCAUAUAUGCUGAUGGCUAUGCCAAUACUUCUCCAUUCCGAGCAUCCAUUGCCUAUAGGUGUGCAGUAGUCUUACGUGAAAGCUGAUGUGAAUCCUCAGCUUCCAAACAAGACUGAACAUGUCCUAUUUUGCAGCCACUUAUCUUGAUUUGAGGUGUUGAAGUGUCCUUAAUUCAAGCACUUCAAGCAUAAUGUUCUCAACUAUUCACUAUUAGCGGAAUGCUAAAUGAAAUCACUGCAAUUGAGAGGGAGCAGAACAUUCUGAUCUCUUCUCUUCUUUUUUUUAGUAUUGAAGUGUUGCUGGAAGAUUCACUCAUUUGGAUCACGAAUAUCCAACUCUUGGAAUCUUCAAGGUGGAUCAAAGAAGAAGAAUGCUGGAAAAAUGGAUUACAACUUCAUUUUAUGAACUCCAAUUUCAGAAACAUGGUUAUGGAUGUCAAUCCGAUUCCAUUUAUGGUGUUCGUCCUGAGAGCAGUUUGGGGUAUUUAUUCAUGGUGUCAGGAAUGUUAUACGUACACAUCGGCGUGAAGGCUCUGAAAUUAUAGGCAGCUUAGAAGGGAUUUAUACUUGAACAGAAUAUUUGGCGGAACACGAAUCAGCCGCUGGAGACCCCCUGCCAUUGGAGUCAUUAUUAAGAAAGAUGAAAAAUAGUGAUCCUAAUAUUCUCCUUGCCACAAUAUGAUUGGAUUCCCAUAAUCUCGUUUUGCCAUCAAUAAAGUGCUCUUACAGUUAACAAGGCUCAUGUUUCACUUGUGGUUCCUAUUAAUACCAUAGAAAAUGGUCCAAUUGACAGACACGGUUCUCCAAAGCAGGUAUUUCGCUUCAAAAUAGCACCAUAUGCCACCACCUAGUAAUGAACAGUUCGUCACUUCAUCAGUAAUGUUUGAAAAGCUUGCAUCAGAGUCAAGACAUCCACCGUACAGAUUACCAGAUGACUAGUACAAAUUGAGGAACUAAAUGUAAAAAGGAACAACCCAUCUUAAAGAGAUGGCUUCCUAGGGUGGAGAACCUUCUGCAUAUGUGCUUGGGAUCCCUAGUUGUUUCAAAUCACUUCCAGGUUAUGACUUCAACGUGAAUGGUGAUAACUCUGUCCAGCUUCUUGUUGCUGCACAUGCUGUUAAUAAUGGUCAAGCCAUUAUUAUGGCUCUUUUGGAGGAGCAUUUCGUACCUCAAUUAUGCAGUAUUGCUCCAGCAAAUGCUCAUGCACGAAAACAGUUGCCUUCUCCGGAAUUACUUUCUCUACUCUCUGACAACUCUUACCAUCACAUGAUUGUGUCAACUGACGAUAUCCUGGCUGCUUCAAUUGCUAAAUUCUGCUGUUCAGUCAUCUCUGCACCAUAAGAAGACUGAAAACUAGGAGUGAUCUAGCCAUUAUCUGGGUCAUGUCAAACUUCUCCGCUAAUUGAUGGACCAGGCAACUAGAAGCUCAAUCUUGUCACAAGGAAGCCAUGCUCUGGCCUUCCAGCAGCUUGCCCUUCCUGCUUACUUAUUACAUCUAUCUCAGAUUCGCUCAAAUUUCCUUUGAUCUGAGUUUCAAUUGCAUUCAUCCUGAUUCAAAUCAAGUUUCCCUUCAUUGAGUCUGGUGCCUAUUCGGUUCCUAUAUUUGAAGAGAUUGCAGUUUACUGAUUGAAUUUCUCAUAAAUCAGCAGCAUGGUACAGGAGGGUUGUGCAAUUGACAUAAGCAUGCAUAUUCCUCUAGUAGAUACUAUGCUUGCACUUUAAGGAUGCCCAGUUUCUAAGGAUAUAUUCAGAGCCCUCUCCUACUUCUCUCUUACUGGAAGAAGAUCUAGAGUAGCUCAAAGUCCUUGUGAACGAGUAAAAGAUAGAGGCUGCUUAGAGUUGAUCGACGAACUCAUCGACACCAUGUUCAGACCAAAGAUACAGUCUAGGGAUACAGUUUUCAGGCGCCGGCUAUUCAAGUCAAUGGCAAUAAAGAUUCGCUGGAAUGGUCCCUGAAUUUGUAAAGCUUGGUGCCUGCUUCUUAUUUUCUAGUGUCUCAUGUUCACAAAAUAAUAGAACACUCUGACUACACUUGAAGGGACAUCCUCAAGGUUCAGAAUGUACGCAAGUCCAAUAACAAAAGAGGAAACACGCCAUGUUCUGUAGAGUAUAGACGCUAAGAGUUUGGCGUUAAAGAAGGUCAACACAAUGGUAAUCCUGAUCAGUUGGAGAGAAAAUUCAGCUACAGCAGCUUCAAGAACCACUCUGGCAGCAAGGAUGAUAUCAUAUUUUCAU